rnacentral:rRNA from 1 species
AACGAACGCUGGCGGCAUGCCUAACACAUGCAAGUCGAACGAGACCUUCGGGUCUAGUGGCGCACGGGUGCGUAACGCGUGGGAACCUGCCCUUAGGUUCGGAAUAACUCCCCGAAAGGGGUGCUAAUACCGGAUAAUGUCUUCGGACCAAAGAUUUAUCGCCUUUGGAUGGGCCCGCGUUGGAUUAGCUAGUUGGUAGGGUAAAAGCCUACCAAGGCGACGAUCCAUAGCUGGUCUGAGAGGAUGAUCAGCCACACUGGGACUGAGACACGGCCCAGACUCAUACGGGAGGCAGCAGUGGGGAAUAUUGGAAAAUGGGCGAAAGCCUGAUCCAGCAAUGCCGCGUGAGUGAUGAAGGCCUUAGGGUUGUAAAGCUCUUUUACCCGGGAUGAUAAUGACAGUACCGGGAGAAUAAGCUCCGGCUAACUCCGUG